GUACGGCCGCAAGGCUGAAACUCAAAGGAAUUGACGGGGCCCGCACAAGCGGUGGAGCAUGUGGUUUAAUUCGAAGCAACGCGAAGAACCUUACCAGGUCUUGACAUCCCGCUGACCGCUUAGGAGACUAAGCUUUCCCUUCGGGGACAGCGGUGACAGGUGGUGCAUGGUUGUCGUCAGCUCGUGUCGUGAGAUGUUGGGUUAAGUCCCGCAACGAGCGCAACCCUUGAUCUUAGUUGCCAGCAUUCAGUUGGGCACUCUAAGGUGACUGCCGGUGACAAACCGGAGGAAGGUGGGGAUGACGUCAAGUCAUCAUGCCCCUUAUGACCUGGGCUACACACGUGCUACAAUGGACAGUACAACGAGAAGCGAGCCUGCGAAGGCAAGCGAAUCUCUGAAAGCUGUUCUCAGUUCGGACUGCAGUCUGCAACU
rnacentral:rRNA from 1 species